rnacentral:rRNA from 1 species
AGUGAACGCUGGCGGUAGGCCUAACACAUGCAAGUCGAACGGCAGCACAGGAGAGCUUGCUCUCUGGGUGGCGAGUGGCGGACGGGUGAGGAAUACAUCGGAAUCUACUCUGUCGUGGGGGAUAACGUAGGGAAACAUACGCUAAUACCGCAUACGACCUACGGGUGAAAGCAGGGGACCUUCGGGCCUUGCGCGAUUGAAUGAGCCGAUGUCGGAUUAGCUAGUUGGCGGGGUAAAGGCCCACCAAGGCGACGAUCCGUAGCUGGUCUGAGAGGAUGAUCAGCCACACUGGAACUGAGACACGGUCCAGACUCCUACGGGAGGCAGCAGUGGGGAAUAUUGGACAAUGGGCGCAAGCCUGAUCCAGCCAUACCGCGUGGGUGAAGAAGGCCUUCGGGUUGUAAAGCCCUUUUGUUGGGAAAGAAAUCCAGCUGGCUAAUACCCGGUUGGGAUGACGGUACCCAAAGAGUAAGCACCGGCUAACUUCGUGCCAGCCGCCGCGGUAA